UACGUAGGGACCGAGCGUUGUCCGGAUUCAUUGGGCGUAAAGAGCUCGUAGGCGGUCUGUCGCGUCUGCUGUGAAAACUCGGGGCUUAACCCCGGGCCUGCAGUGGGUACGGGCAGACUAGAGUGCGGUAGGGGAGACUGGAAUUCCUGGUGUAGCGGUGAAAUGCGCAGAUAUCAGGAGGAACACCGAUGGCGAAGGCAGGUCUCUGGGCCACUACUGACGCUGAGAAGCGAAAGCAUGGGGAGCGAACAGG
rnacentral:rRNA from 1 species